CAUAGUCAAGGACAGGUGAGGCUUCAGAGCUCUGCCACCAACUUCAACAGGGUCAUUAGGAUUAAAGUGAUAAAGUCAAUUUUUACUUUCUGCACGAAUCUAAGUUGAUCCAAAGAAAGCAAUUAAUUCUUUUUUUUGUUCUCUGUUUCCCUUAUCCUUAUGUGGAAUCAUAUUUUGUCCCAGCUCCCUACUGGUUUGUUGUUGUUGUUGUUUUUCAUUUCCAACAAAAGAGUUGUUUCUUUCAAAGACUCAAAAAAAUCUCAGUAUCAGGGAUGGUCAGCAAUUCCUGGCUUUUCUCUGAACCUGUCUGCUGGAAAUUUGCUGCUGUGGCAACUACCAGGCUUUUGAAUCUGGCUGCAAAGAUGCCAUUUGGUGCCGUUUUCCAGGUUGUGUGGUUUCCCCAGGGAGAAUUCGGAGAUCCUGGGACAUGUGUGUAUGUCGGACAGGAAAGGGACUUAGAACAACAGAAGGAAGGUAGCUCCCAGUGGCUUCGCUUCAGAACCCUGGGAUGGCCCCACAACCACACCAAAAUCCUGCUCUGGAAGGUCUGCCCACUCACAUCAGGUUCCCCACAGCAACAACAAAAGUGGGUGGGAGUGAGCACUGUGGCAAGCUCAGCCCCGCUGGAAUGAGCCUGUGGAGUUGAUUAAUGCUGGCCUUUUCCCUAAAGUGGGACUUGGGAAAAACAGGCUGGAUGCUGCAGGAAGGAAAAAAAGAGAAAGCGAACCACUUAUAAAGGAAAUCCUCACCCUCCUUUGUGCGGGGAGCCAGACCUACUGGAAGUCAGAUCCAAGAGGUACACAAGCUCGAAUUGAUGAGGGUGUCAUGCUGUCAGCUCCAUGGGGUUUGGAAAGAGCUGAGAAAUGACUCCAUUCCGUUUGACUCUCCUGGACAUUCCGCGGUGAUCUUCAUGUGACAUCAGCUGCCUCUCGGCCUGCUGUGAUUUACUGGUGGUGCUAGUCCCUGCUCUUGAAACCUUUGUAACUAUGAAGGCUGAAGUGCCAUUUAAAGAAAAAAGAAGGCAAAGAAAUGAGCUAUGAGAUGUCCCGGAUGUGAGAGGAUCCCCCAUGUUGUUAGAACCAGACGUUAUAGAAAAAAGUCUUGAUUUACACCCAAAUAUCGAUCUACAUUUAAAUAAAUAUUCUCCACAGAGUGGGAUUACAGAUUAUUUUAAUUUUCUAUCAAAGCAUUGCUUUUAUUGUUUAGACAUUAUACAAUUAAUAUAUAAUACUUUUAUUAUUGGAAAAUAUUAUAAAAUAAUUUUAAUUUUGAAAAGGAAGUUUAAUGAAAACUGGGUUAGGGUAUCACAUUGCCAUGUAGUUGAGAGAUUAUUUUAUUCUCCAUGGUCUGUGUUAGCAGGGGAAGAGGUCACAUAAAGUUCCCAAUUAUUUUAUAUUUCAGUUUAGGAUGCUUCCCAGUGAAACAUUACCAGUUUAGACUAAAUUAGGAAAAUGAAUCUAAGUUAGUCUAAAGAGGUGGUGCUCAAUCUUCCUAAUGCUGUGACCCUAUAAUACAGCUCCUCAUGUAGUAGUGAC